CAUGAACAUCUGGCUGUUCUUGCUGUUUGUUGCGGGGAGCUUCGCCCUCUUGGGUUUCUCGGAGGCUGUCCCUCAGGUACCACGUGGUCAAGACUCUCCAGGGACCCUUGGCGCCUCUCGGAGGAUGGGUAACGGAAUGGGAGGAGGUCGAAGUCAAGGCAAAAGAAAAAUGGGAUAGGCAUAUAAGUGUCCAGAUUUCAAUAUGUUCAAGUAAUAAGGGAUAUACGGUCUUCUAUGGAUUGGACACACACCUCUGAAAUUUGACUUAAAGUUACAGAUUUGUUUAAAUCGUUUCGUUUACUGGUAUCGUGAAAAUUAAAUAGGUAAUAGUUGUUUGUGAUAGGAAUAUACUCAAACAUAUUGUUUAUUGAAAAAAAGAGAACAGUUUUAUGUAUCUAAUAUAAUAGAAUAUUAAU